rnacentral:tRNA from 2 species
UCCUCGAUAGCUCAGUGGCAGAGCAUUCGGCUGUUAACCGAAGGGUCGUAGGUUCGAACCCUACUCGGGGAG